rnacentral:lncRNA from 1 species
CAUGACAAUGAAUUACAGUAAUAAUAAGAAUAAAGUCUAUGAUUAGAGCAAAGUCUCCUAGAUAAAUUGAUUAAAUGAUCGGCGUCAAUGGCCAAAGGUUCACAUUUGGAUCAUAAAUGAUGAUAUGGAUAAAAAUCAUUAAAAUGGAACAAACAUGCCAUGAACCACUGCUAGUUCUCAGGGAUCGGCAUUGUAGAUUUUGUAGGAGGUGAAGAGCAAUGGAGGAAAGGAGCAACAUUAAAGAAUUGCAGACAUUUAGCUUUUUUACCCUUCCAAUUGAUGCUUGACUGGGGAUAUAACAGCAAGCAAGGGCAGCUUCGGGGAACAUAACAUAGGUUUUUGAUGCCUCAAUUCUUCAACGAUGAUUAAAAUUACUCACCUUCAGCAAAUGGUCCUAUGCAUUAGAAAAUCCUCAUAUCAAAUCCCUAUGAAAUGUUAAUAGACGUAAACUACUAUUAAAUUACUCAAGCUUCAGCAAAUCGUCCCUUACUUGUUACAGAAUCCUCAUCUCAAUUCUCUAAGAACCAAAUUUGCCUCGCUUAAAGAGAACCUAACAAGCCGUUAUUUUUGCAUUUGAAGAAUGAGUAUUUAAGAGUUGAAGUUUGGUAAUUGCACGUCUGGAAGGUAAGUUACUUCAAGUGUUAUACAAAAAGUGAACCACACAAUGGAUAUUCCCUCUCAAAAUUAAAUGCAAAGGCUAGAGGCAUGAUGGACCAGGAUCAACCAGAACUUCAGAAACUGUCAUAGUAAAAAUUUAAACAGAGAUGGUAGUAUACCUCAGAGCUGUCUCUCUACCAUGUCGUACCUUCUAAAUAUUCUAGCCCAUGAUUUAUAUUUGCCCUUUUAGGCUAUCCCAGCUUCUUAAUAUUGCUGCAGUGAACUUUGAGCAGACUGGUUUUGCACUCUUAACUCAAGGAAUGCCUAUUUAGUAACCCACCAUCAAUAGCAAUGACUCAGAGAAAAUUAGUUGUCAAAAAGGAUAUAGUUCUAAUAAUAUAGAUAUGUUGAGGCACUUAACAACUUUAAGAAUUUUAACUAGCUCAUGAUUGAGGAGAAGUGCAGUAAUGGCAUCAAUACCAUUUUUCCCUUAAGAAACAUUUGGAUGCUGGGAAUGGGAUCUUCGAAUGAACAACGUUGAAGCCAGUUGUUCAUAAAAUAUGAUAGGUUGUGAUAGUUAACAGGUUCAUGUGAAAGAACAUUCAGAUUUUUCUUACCAAAAUGAAAAGCACUAAAUCAAGGCACAGAAACAUUACCUGUGCACCAAAGAGGUGAGUACCGGCACGUUAAUGAUGGAUCUAUCUGCUGCUCGUAACAUUAAUAUCUCUGAAGCUUCAAGCAGCAAGGAUUGAAUUACAGUGCCUCACAUCUUAUGAUCAUGU